UACAGAGGGUGCGAGCGUUGUCCGGAAUCACUGGGCGUAAAGGGCGCGUAGGUGGUGGCUUAAGCGUGCGGUGAAAGCUCGGGGCUCAACUCCGAGUCGGCCGUGCGAACUGGGCUCACUGGAGCAUAGUAGAGGCAGGUGGAAUUCCGGGUGUAGCGGUGGAAUGCGUAGAGAUCCGGAAGAACACCGGUGGCGAAGGAGGCCUGCUGGGCUAUGGCUGACACUGAGGCGCGACAGCGUGGGGAGCAAACAGG
rnacentral:rRNA from 1 species